GAAGAGAAAAUCUCGGAAGUCCAGAAACUUGAAAAAUGCUACCAUCAGUGUUAGUCAUGACAGACAUACUUUAUCCAUGAAAGAGAAUGCUGAAACCAAUGGGCAUAAUCAAAUUCAGGUCAAUGGAAGUUAUUCAUUUAUACCUGAUGGUGAUAGUGAUGGGCGUUGGGUUGGAAGACUUUUUGUUACAAAUAUUGAAAUCGGUCACGGGAGCAAUGGUACAGUCGUCUUUGAAGGAUUUUAUGGUGGUCGUCCAGUUGCUGUAAAACGGCUUCUUCGUGCACAUUAUGAUGUUGCCUUUAAAGAGAUUCAGAAUCUUAUUGCAUCUGAUCGGCACCCAAAUAUUGUUCGGUGGUAUGGAGUAGAACAAGAGUUGGAUUUUGUGUAUAUCUCACAGGAGCGUUGUAUUUGCAGCCUAAGUGACUUAAUAUGCAUAUGCUCAGAUUCUUCUUCACAUUCAGUAUCUGUGGAAAAUCAAACAUCAAACUCUGUGGUUGAAGAUAAAGUUCAAUUAAGCUUGGUGAAAGGUAUCAGAAAGGAUGUUAAAACUUGUGGAGAUCAAAUGGGCUUCCUUCAAGCCAACUCUUAAAGAUAAUGAGGUGCGGGUUUGUCCUUUCCCUUGUAUGUCUCUUCACUGUAGAUUUUGUGUUGCUCUGUUACUUCUUUGUCUCCUUGUAUAUAUAUUUGAGUCAAUAUUUUUUUAUAAACAGCUUAUAGGUCAUCUUUUAUCUUACUUGUUGGCAUUGGGUGUUUACUGAACAGUGAAGAAUUACCAUUUAACAGCCAUUGUUUCCUUAAGAAUAUAAGACAAUGACAAUUUAAGUCUCAUUUGAUUGAAUUUAGCAAUUUGGUUUUUUCUUAGAAGUAGCUUCUUGAUUGCAAUAUUAUUUUCUUUCACAAAAGAAAACUUCAAAAUACAUCAGAACCAGUUCUGCUCUGUACAACAGAUGAUGGCGAAGUUGGGAAGAAGUUAUAUGCAUAUUCAUUAGUAACACAGUUUCUUAAGCACAAGAAAACUUUGUACAACAGAGGAUGACAUAUGUUUCUAUAUAAAAUCAAGAGUGACAUAGUUUCUUAAACAGAAUAAAAACCUAAAGUUUAUAGUAUUGACUGGAAAACAGCAGAUGUCAAAUUAGCAAAAAAGUUACAGUUAAUACAAUAAUUAGAGUGAAAAGCCUCAUCUAAGUAAUCCAAUUUGUUGUUGUUGUUGUUGUUGUUGUUGUUGUUGUUGUUGUGUAUCAUAGGGGCCUUUGACAUGUCUAACUUUAAGGCAAUAGCAUUUGCUUCUUUUCCUCAAGUUGCUUGUGUUGUCUAUUUAUUUUGGAAAUUGGCUAUGCUAAUUUGCAAAUUUUGGUAGCUAUUGAUCUUUUGUGAUACUGUGGAUCUGUUGUUUUUAAAACUUUAAUCGUGUUUGUUUUACAGAGAUGUAGUUUCUGGCCUUGCACAUCUACAUGAAGUUGGAAUCAUACACCGGGAUCUAAAGCCUCAAAAUGUGCUAAUAAGCAAUGACAGACAUCUUAAUGCCAAGCUUUCUGAUAUGGGUAUAAGCAAAUGCCUACUUGAAGACAUGUCUUCAUUGAGCCGUAAUGCUACUGGUUAGUGCACAAUGAGAACUUUAUAUCUCUGGUAUCUGACAAGUGUGCUUAUUCUUUUAUUAUCCUUAGAAAUGGACCAAGUUCAAGCAUGUUUUAAUUUACCAUAGGAUAUGGUACCUCUGGUUGGCAAGCACCUGAACAACUUCUUCAUGGGCGUCAAACACGAUCUAUGGAUUUGUUCAGUUUGGGUUGCAUACUAUUCUUUUGUAUUACCAAAGGAAAACAUCCAUUUGGCAAUCAUUUUGAAAGGGAUGCAAACAUUAUUCACAAUCGCAUGGACCUCUUCUUGGUGGAUCAUAUACCAGAAGCUGAACAUUUACUUUGUCAACUGUUACAGCCUGACCCAAAGAUGAGGCAAGCAGACCUUUUUUCACAAUUUCCAUGGUUACAUUGCAGUCAUUCCCUCUGCUCAUUUUUUCUGAUUUGCUAAGUACAUGCUUCUUGUGUAUCAUCAGGCUGAAUGCGGUAGAAGUAUUGUGUCACUCUCUUUUUUGGAGUUCUGAGACACGACUUUCAUUUUUACAAGAUGUAAGCGAUCGUGUUGAAUUAGAAGACAGAGAAAAUGAAUCGGAGCUGCUAAAAUCGUUAGAAAAUAGUGCGCCAAAUGCAUUUGGUGGGAAAUGGGAUGAUAAGUUAGAUGUUGCAUUCAUUACAGACAUGGGUCAUUACAGAAAAUAUCAUUUUGAUUCCAUACGUGACCUUCUACGAGUAAUAAGAAAUAAGUUGAAUCAUUACUGGGAACUUCCAAAAGAACUCCAGGUAGCCUCUUCCAUCCUUUUAUUUGAGUAUUUUCAUCUUAAAUUCUUGAGAUCAAUUUGCUCUGUGUGUGUAACUUGGUUCAAGUAAUUUCUUUGUGUGGUUUUCUUAUGUAGAUAUUUGUUGUUAUAUUAUCGCUUUGUUGAACCAAUCAAUUAGAAAGUGUGCUUCUUGCUUCACAAUGUGUUGCGAGUUUAGGUACCACAAUAUGUAUGCUGAACAUAUUAUUUGGUUUCCAAUACUUUUCCAUUUUGUCUGAUCAUCAUUUUUUUCAGGAGCAUUUUUCACUUCGGCUUCAACUGUAUGAAAAAGAACUUGAAUUGGAUAUACUUGUUGGGUUUGUUUACUUUUACCCUUUUUUUUUGGCCUGGAUCUCAGAUAAAAUAUUGCUCAUCAUCCCAUUAUUCUCUUUACUUGGUAUACCAAAUUUAAUGGUGUCAUACUGAUCCACUUGUUAAUGCUGAUUAACUAGUUGAGGGUGUUUCAUGUGUUGUGUGCUUUGUGAAUUGAGUCUCAUAUAUAAAGCAGUACUUGCAAGGGUAUUUGUUCUUUAUGCUGAAGUAUUUCCAACGGCUGCAGGAAACUCUUGGACCUGUUCCUCAAGGAUUUGAUAUGUACUUUGCAAGUCGAUUCCCAAAGCUCCUAAUUGAAGUCUACAAAGUGGUUUACCGAUUCUGUAAGGAAGAGGAUUACCUUAGCAAGUAUUUCCAAUGCAGCAGCCUUCUGUAGAUUCAGAUCUUCUGUUCCAAAGACUUGAACCAAUAUGAGAAGUGCUUGUUUUGUUCUCUCUAUCUCUCUCUCUCUUCAUUUGGCGAAGGUAGGACUUCUUUUGCUUCUACUAGUAUCGAUUUUAGUUCUAAUCCAUGAUCGGUAGAUGUUUCUUCUCAUCUCUGUAUUGGAUGAUCUUUGAGUGUAGUUCGAUGAAUUGAAUGAGGCAUCCUUCCUCUUUCAUUAGGAUGCUUGUCUUCUUAGUUCUUGUAUUAGCGUAGAGUAGAUCGGUGCGUUCUUUGUGUAGAUGGAUUCUCUCUGCUUUUGUUUCAUUUUUUAUCGGAAGAGAAAUGCUGAUCAUGAGGUUGGCAACCUUCAAGCGGAUUUUUGGUUAUCUUCUCAAAGUUUUAUGGCAAAUAUGCUUCCCGGUGAUGAUCGGGUCUCGCUGUUUCGGGUUUUCCUCUUAUGCGUAGUGCAGUAAUGUUGUUGACGUCACUCCGGUUUGUCUCUAUUCAACAGACCAUGUCAGACACAAGUCGAUGCAGCGAGCGCCGGUUUCUCCCACCAUUGGCAACAGCCGCGGCUGUUCGAUCGCAUCAUCACCGGAUAAGGCAUAUUUUGGACCUCGAUCACGACUCAGAUCCACCGUUAGCGUAAGUGCAAACAUGAAACCGCAGGACAUGAAUCGAGCAUCACGUCGAAUACACCCCUACAGAUUCAGCACAAAGGCCACCUCCCUCCCACGUCGAUCGAAGCCCGUGCAAGGAGGCGUCUUCUCGACAAGUCUUGUUCCGGAAAGUUCAGGACGAUGUUGCAUGGCGUCGUUUCGCACAUACCAAUCAGCGACCAUACGAAGAUACGAACUCACUGCUCAGGGAGUCGAUCGCUACGUCAAACCCACGUACGAUCGACUCUCGGGCACUAUUAUAAAAGCCGUUGACCAGCAUCUGGCUAGAGGAUCCGAGAAAAAAGCCAAAAACCACUGACUUAAACUCCGAGAGGCCUAAGUCGGGAAUCCCCUAAUCCAGGCCUAUGUGUAGGGACACGACCACUCCCAGGCCAGCUCAAAUCCUCGGUGGAGGCGCGUUCAACCCAACUUCUGAUCCAGCCCAACCUCGGGACCCACCCGAUCGAUUGAGAGACACACUCUCAUUGAUAUGAUCUUAUAAAUAAUUAAUAUUUGUACAAUAUAAUGAUAUAAUCUUAUAAAUAAUUAAUAUUCUUAGUCAUAUUUUUCAAAGCCGUUAAUAGAUUACAUUAAAAUAGUUUAGGUGCAUUUACUUAACUAUCCAUAAGAUUUACCUGUCUAAGUUUUGUGCUUAAUUUACAGAAUGGCCAUAUUUUCUUACUGUAGGAGCACAAACAUCAACGUUGUCGACUGAUCAUAUCAUAUACUACAAUACAAAAAUUUUUUUUUUUUAUUUUUGGGGGGUCGACAAGUAGAAUACAUAUUUUAAUGCUGUCCGUCCGAUCAGAAUCAUCUGAUGGGUGACGUGUCCAUAUUUGCUCUGCCAAGCUUGGCAAGUGAUGCAAAUAAUUGAAAGUUCCGUGAAUAAUGGGCCUUUGGCAGUAUCGUUAGUCCAUAGCCUAAUCGUAGGACCUGAUUUGAUAGCACAGUUAUGGGCCAAGCCCAACUAUACGUCACGAAUACGAAAGCCAUCAAACAAUCGUACGGUGUCGCAUAUGCUUUCCGUAGUGGCCCGCGCAAGCAAGAGGCUGCAAGGCGAAAAGGAAAGGGAGAUGAUCGGGUCUGUGGAAGCUCUUGGUAUGGGGCUGGGUUGGAAAACCCUACCGCCCCGCCAUGUUUGUCUUACAUGGAGUGAGGUCUUUUCCAAUGCCUCCAAUGCCGAUGGUUUCCAGGCACCCCUCCCUUUCCCUCUCUGAGUCUUUUGAGGAUUGGUGUGACAUGCGAUGGUGAAGAAGGCGCCGGGAGGAGGGAGAGGAAGCGCAGGGAUUCCUACAAGCUGUGGGGAUGGGGGCAUCGCCGUGCCCAUACCAGCUCUGGCUGAGAGAUGCAGGUUGAUGGUGCUUGCCGAUCCCUCCCAUGCCUAUGGUUUUUAGUAGCUCGUUCCUCUCCCUUGCCCCUCUUGUAAUGCUCUUACGUUAUGGAUGCGGCUUACAGUAAGAACAGGUGUUCUUAUUUCAGCCGCCUCCUCCACCAACCAUUCUGUCCGCUGCCGGAGAGCUCCGACAAACAACCCAGCCGUUUCAGAACAUCCCCCCUCUGCACCUUUUGUCGUCGGCUGCAACAGAAUGGCACCGCUCCACGCAUCCGUCGCCCUCCUCCCUUUACACCUCCUCCCCCGGUGGUGCCGUGUUAUCCCUCCAUGGUUUGGCUCCUCAUGAAACCUCCACCAGCUGCAAAAUACCAUCUCCACCAACCAUUCUUUCCGCAGCCUGAAAGCUCCGACAAAGCACCCAGCCGUUUCAGAAGGGCAACUCCUUGUUUCCUUGCCCCAUUCUACCGUUUUGACCUAGUGGGGUUCGCCUUAUCUUGAUCCAUCCCCGGCCAAUUUAGUCGCUCCCCAAAACCAACCCCCACUCCCCCUCCUCUCCCUCCAUUCGAUGCUCCCAUCCGAGCGCUCCGUCGCUUUCUUCGCCUUGCUCCUGCUAGGGUUACUCGUCUCCGGCGUGUUGACGCCCGUGGUGCUUGAUCCGUCGGCGGAGAGCGAAUCUUGGGGGACCGCAGCUGCCGCCGCUGCAUCUGCUUCCCCUCUUCCUUCUCCUCCUACUCCUUGGCUUUCAAUUCCUGCUCCGCCUACUAGCGAGAUCUUCCAGGAAGAAAAAUGGACCGACCGGCCAUUGUCGGGGGAUUUGGUACCGGUCGAGGAGUCUCCUCCUUUUGUCCCGGAUCCCAAAUCGGCGUUGCUAUUGAGUUCGGCUGAAAGGUAAGCACUUGGAUUUUGGAUUGGUUCAAGUAAGAGCAGGGUUUUCUGCUAUCGCUCGUAUGUUUUUGAUUGGUUGUGUUUGUUAAAGAUCUAACUUUUUAAAGUUCAAGACACGAAUUUGAAGAUAGUUGUCGUGAAAUUUGACUCUCUCCUUUCGAAAUUCGACAUUACUUGCAGCUUAGUAGAGGCUAGCUGCUGUAACAAUGACAAUUUGCUAGCUGUGAUAGGCGUUCUUUUAAGCAUGUCGACUUGUGCGAAUAUGUGUUUCAAAGUAGCAGCAGCUUGAUUAUGGUAAUUCCUGAAAUUCUCAUGUGGCUCGAUGAAACAUUUUGCACCCACUAAGAACCAUUGGCUUUCUGAUAUUUUCUAUAUUAGCUUAUGGAAACAGUUGUUAGAUGAAUGCAUAGGUAUACCUUCAAGUGGGUGAAACUAAUACUAGGUGUUUUCAAGUUUUGUUAGUGCAAGUAAUUUUGGAUCUAUGAGCAAGCUUAUGAAUGCGAAUCAGCCAGUAAGUGUUCCUUAGGAAUUGUCACAAAUUCCGUUAUGGACCAUGACCAGAUAGUGGAGAGACUAAACGAUGAACAUAUUUCUUUAGUUGGAUCACGAGGCUUGCCUACUUCCCCAAAUGGAUCUCCACUGGGAAAUUGCAUUUUUGAUAGGCCAAAAUUUCCUACAGCAUAUUCUAGUUUUGUAAACUCAAGACAGAGACCCAGAGGUCCAAUCAACUGGCUUUAUCACGAACAAGAGAGUUCUAAUACAUCAUGGAACUCAUUGGAUGAUUCAAAUACUUAUUCAAUCGACGGACAUUCUCAUGUUCAGCAAGGCCGUGGCUUGUCAACACAAUCUAUUUAUGGUCAUGGUUGGCUAUUUAUUCUCUCUGUGCCUAUAUUUGCAUUUUGCUAUUUUGGGUUGAGAAAGCUGUUCAAGAAUGAUAAAAAAUAUAAUGAUUUGAAGGAAAAGCAAUCUGUCGUUCCUAAGAAGAGAAAAUCUCGGAAGUCUGGAAAGUUGAAAAAUGCUACCAUCAGUGUUAGUCAUGACAGACAUACUUUAUCCAUGAAAGAGAAUGCUGAAACCAAUGGGCAUAAUCAAAUUCAGGUCAAUGGAAGUUAUUCAUUUAUACCUGAUGGUGAUAGUGAUGGGCGUUGGGUUGGAAGACUUUUUGUUACAAAUAUUGAAAUCGGUCACGGGAGCAAUGGUACAGUCGUCUUUGAAGGAUUUUAUGGUGGUCGUCCAGUUGCUGUAAAACGGCUUCUUCGUGCACAUCAUGAU
rnacentral:lncRNA from 1 species